GACGAACGCUGGCGGCGUGCCUAAUACAUGCAAGUCGAACGCAGUGGGGACGGGUGAGUAACACGUGGGUAACCUCCCAUCAGAGGGGAUAACACUUGGAAACAGGUGCUAAACCGAUACUGAUGGAUGGACCCGCGGUGCAUUAGCUAGUUGGUGGGGUACCGGCUCACCAAGGCCACGAUGCAUAGCCGAGCUGAGAGGGUGACAGGCAAAACGGGGACUGUGACAGGGCCCAGACUCCUACGCCAGGAAGCAGUAGGGAAUCUUGGACAAUGCACAAAAGUCUGUCCGGCGCACGCCGCGUGAGUGACGGACGUUUUCGGCGCGAAAAACUCCUUUGUUAGCGCAACGGUACCCAACCAGAAAGCCACGGCUAACUACGAGCCAGCAGCCGCGGUAAUAC
rnacentral:rRNA from 1 species